CACUUCCCAAUAGUAAUUUAACCUAGUACGGGAGGAACUAUUAAUUCACGCAAUUGGUUGCCGCAUAUUUUUCAAAAGCCAGUGGCGCGAAGCUACGUGUUUCGAUUAUGAUUGAACGCCUUUAAGCCAGAAUCUAGACUACAAGCGACGCACACACCCCCUCCCAAUUGUCAAUCCGCAGUAAAGGCCUUUAGCUCCCCAAGUGCACGUGUCGUAGGUGUAGUGACAACAGUGGACAAGUCGCAAACAUUUCUUUGAAGCAUAAUUUCCACCCAGAAAAGGGCAGAAUCCUUUUCAAAUGACUUAAAUACAUGACGGGAUAUUGUAAGUGGUAGAGUGGCCUUGCUGCCACGAUCUACUAAGAUUCAACCCUUUUUUUUUGUUUUGAUUC
rfam:Gossypium raimondii Chr08_contig_10, whole genome shotgun sequence.